UAAAGGAUUAGUGGACUAAAUUGGACGAAAGAAAAGUUAGAAAGUGAAGGUUAAGGAGGUGGCAACUUCAAGGACCUAAGUGGACCUUUAACCCACUUAUUAUCAUCAAUUAUGAAUGAUUAUUCAUUCAUUCAAAGCAAAAUUUGCAGCAAAGGAAGGGAAGAACCCGUAACUCCCUUACCCCAAAAUCAACAAAUCUUUUAAACCCCAUAACUUUCUCAAUUUUGAUCCGAAUUUAGCGAUUCUCGCGGCCACGGAACGAGGAAACGAUUAUCUACAGAUCUAUGGCUUCAGUUUGAGGUGUUUAUUAGCUUCCAUGGACCAAUUUUGAUGAUGAAUCUUGGAGCUAGACUCUUUGGAUUUGAGGCUUCAAUCAAGAUCGGACGAGCGACUAUCGAAAAAGGUUUGAGGCAAACGGAUCGAGACAUCGUCAUAAUUAUUUGAAGAAUUUGGAUAGCAAGUGGGAUAGUAUGAUAUGAUUUGAAGAGUCAAGCUUCCGAAGUUUUAAUUCUCGGAAGUCAUUUGCACGUGAAGUAAAAGAAGGUUUUCAUUCUAGCGGUCCGCAGUAGUCUAGAUGUUUUUGUCUAUGUAUUUGUAUAAUGCAUCUUAACUCUGAUGUUUUUGUAAAAUGGGGUCACAUGUAUUUUGAUAUAUGAAACAUGAUUUGAUUUGCGAAAAA